rnacentral:rRNA from 1 species
CCCUUAGAUGUCCGGGGCCGCACGCGCGCUACACUGAAGGAAUCAGCGUGGCUUUCUCCCUGACCCGAAAGGGUUGGGAAACCCGUUGAAUCUCCUUCGUGAUAGGGAUUGGGGCUUGAAAUUGUUCCCCAUGAACGAGGAAUUCCCAGUAAGCGCGAGUCAUAAGCUCGCGUUGAUUACGUCCCUGCCCUUUGUACACACCGCCCGUCGCUACUACCGAUUGAACGGUUUAGUGAGGCCCUCGGAUCGGCCCCGCCGGGGUCGGCCCACGGCCCUGGCGGAGCGCUGAGAAGACGGUCGAACUUGACUAUCUAGAGGAAGUAAAAGUCGUAACA